rnacentral:pre_miRNA from 1 species
AGGAGAGCGCAACCCUGACAGCGAGCGCGUGUGGACGCGUCUUGCCCGUGGCCCUGUCAUGGUCGUGCUCUCUUGU